CUGAAACAAACUAAAAUCCUAGUCAAUUACGACAUGACUAUUACAUCUACUUAAAAACUAUUAAAGAUAAGUCUCUACGCCUUCCCUUAUUUGGUAGAGUCGAUUUUGCUUCGGAUCGGGCCUCCUUCGGUCUUCUAUCAGCUCCUGGAACUCUGAUCUUCCGUAGCUAGUCUUGGUCAACGCGGAGUCAUCAACGGUCUUUUUCUCUCUCCUUCAUCGACCGUUAGAACCUUAUUUGCAGUUAGUCUUAUGUUUAACUGCUAAUUCAAAAAAGAAAAGAGAUUGGAAAUUUUGCUCACUCGAAGUUGUAUGGUAGAAGUAUGUACUUCUUGUAAUGUUGGUUGUCUAGGAACUUAUAUAUGUUCUUCAAGGUCCAAUUUGGUCUAUCUCUUAUAGUUGCCUCGUUUAUAACAUCCGGGUCCAUGAAGUCGUUGUCAUAUUAUUCUUUCCUCCGGCAAGUUUGAAUCUCCAUCAUGCAUGAUACAAAAUAGAAUAGGAGUUAAGACAUCGCACAAUGACUAGAGCGGGAAUUUUGAAGUAAGAGCACAUUAAAGACUUGACCUAGGAACUGAUGAGUGACUUGUCUAGUGCAUCUUGAUUGUAAAGGAAAUAGAGUUCCUCCAGCGGCACAUCUAUAAUGACUUCCCCACGGAAAUAAUGUUGAUCUCCAAUCCAAACUUCGAGCAUGAGUAAACCGUUGGCUGAAGCCUCCAUGUACCAUUGAUGCAAUUUGUACAUCUUCGUUGGAAGAUGGUCCACCAACUGCGGCCACGCAAGCGGUUUCCCUUACUCAAAUUUCCAUUUAGCAGCCGCAGGGUGCUUUGGGACGUGAUCCUCCCCUUGAAGUUGAGCUGGGGUGAGAUUUGAAUCUUUGGCGAAUUGAAGCAGGUUCUGAUUAGAGUCCGAAAGCACCUGGAGUGGGGCAAUCGAUUGGUUGGAUUGGGUUCCGAGCUAUGGAAUACUUGUAUCCCUUGUCUUCUUCUUCUGAAAAGAUUUUGUUAUUGAGCGAUCGUAGUCAGAUAGCGGUGGUUUCUCUGGUUUUUUCUCCAUGCUUCUAAUGAAAGCCCAAAAUUUGACAUGGUGUAUCUUUCUUCACGGGAGUCGGUAUGAAGUGCGCUUUAACCUGAGCAUUCACUACUGCGUCGAGUUGCAAAUCAGUCAUAUCAUAAGGUUUCUUGGAUUCUGGUUGCUUCUCCUUCGGCUUCUUCUGCUUCUUUGUAGCCGCAGUAGGCGGAACUGAAGGCGUCUUUCACCAUGUAGCUUUGCUCAUAAUAGGGGGAGAUGGACUCAUGUUAGGAUCCCUAUCAGCUGGUGGAGAGCGCGGACUCAUGCUAGGAUCCCUAUCAGCUAGUGGACUCAUGCUAGGAUCCCUGUCAGCUAGUGGAGAGGGUGCCCUGGUAAAUGACGUAGGUGAUCUUGCCCUUGAGCCCUAAGGAGAUGAUCCCAAGGUCGGGGGAUUUAGUUGUGGAUUCCUUAUGUAGUGCUUGGGGCAUAGAAUCCAACCGUGGAUGGCUUCUCCUAGAUUCUUUUCCCCAUCACCUCCAGGUAUCUUCAGUUUGAGGUCAUCCCAACCAUCUACCACUUGAUCCACCCCAACUUUGGCGUAACCGCGAGCUGGAAUCUUCAUGCCAUGAAUUGUUUGACAUUGUAUCGAUUGUUCAGCCACACCAUAAGCCACCACGAUGAGUUUGUUUUUCACGGGAGUAACAAGCUCACAAGGGGCCCUCCCAGUUAUGUCGUCCAUGGGGUGGCGUUGGUUGUACUAUCUAGGAGGACUUUAAGCAUGCUUGGAUGGCGAAGACGAAGGUUUAACUGACCGAGCCUCAUUCUGUGGUUUAUUUGUGCCUCCUGCAACGGUAGUACUCAGUAGAC
rnacentral:lncRNA from 1 species